rnacentral:lncRNA from 1 species
GAUGAUCCAGCAAUUUUGCUUCUUGGGUAUAGAUACCCAAAAGAAUUGAAAGCAGGGACUCAAACAGAUACUUGUACACCCAUGUUCAUAGCAACAAUAUUCCCAACAGCCAAAAGGUGACAACCCAAAUGUCCAUCUAGAGAUGACAUAUAUAUAUAUGCCACAUUUUGUAUAUGUAUGUUUUUUAUAUAUAUAUAUGCAUAACAUUGCAUUUAUACACACACACACACUGGAUUAUUCAGCCUUAAAAAGGAAUGAAUAAUGACUGCUACAACAUGGGUGAGCCUUGAAAACGUAAGUGAAAUAAGCCAGGUACAACGACAUGAUUCCACUCUUAGGAGGUAGUGUAGUUAAAUUCAGAGACUCUUAGGGAUUACCAGGGGCUAGGGAGAGGAGAGAAUGGGGAGGUACUAUAUAAUAGGUACAGAAUUUGUUUGAGAUGAUGGAAAUAUUCUGGAAAUAAUAGUUGCACAACUUUGUGCGUGUAAUUAACACCACUGAAUUGUACACUCAUAAUGGCUAAAAGAUUUAUGUAAUGCAUGUUUCUCUACCAUAAAAACGAAAAGCAAAGAGCUCAACAGAUACAAUCUAAGAUCACAACCAAUCACUGGAAAACCUCGUUUUAAUUUUAAUUCCAGCAUCUACAUUGGACAAUUAGCAUUUGUAAAAACCUUUUCAUGCUUUGAGAACUAAAUGAAAAGACACUCAUGUUGAAAGCUUACCAGAUGCUACUUUUCAGUGUAUGUGCAUUUGUUUUAAACUGAAUGCACUAAGUAGCAUUUGCAGGAUGAACAUGGAUAACAAUACUUGAGGGUUAGAAUUCCUCGCUAUCCAACCACACAUUGUAUUAUACAGGCUGGCGACAACAGCAUCCAUUCUCAUUAGGUAUUUGGAAAUUAUUUUAGUGUCUUGCAUUUGGCCUCACUAUCAAUCACCAUCAAUAGAAAAGUUAUUUCAAACUAGCUCAUUCUAAAUAGACAACUAAGUGGUAGCUUCCAUGAUGUCUUAGGUUCUUUGCGGGGUGGAAGAGCAGGGUAAAUGCUCCCUGCACAUAAUAUACUUAACAUAUUUCAAGUAUCAUUUUACUCUUCAUAUGACAAGUGAGAAAAUGCUGAUUUAUUUAUUUCCUCCCCCUUUGUAGGUGAGAAAUAGAAGGCAUUUGAGCUGAGAUAUUACGACGCCAAAACCUUUAUCAGCUUCUCCAAAUAUUAUUUGCACUCUUCCACUUUAUUUUUUUUUCUUUUUAGGGCCGCACGUGUAGCAUAUGAAAAGUGUCCAGCUGCAGCUCCAGCUCUGAUUUGACCUCUAGCCUAGGGAUCCUGGGGACUUCCAUGUGCCUGGAGUGUGGCCCUAAGAAGCAAAAAAAAAAAAAAAAAAGUUUAAAGAAGGCAGAGCUGACCCCCACAAUGAUGCAAGAAGUGGCUUUCUAGUCACCCACAGGACAUAUGACAAUGUGGAGGGAGUCAGGAAUUUGGUUUGCUCAGAUAGCCAAUUUAACUGUAAAAAAAUAGCUGAAAAGCUAAAUUUAGACAGUCAAGACUCAUUCUGAAAGAAAGCUUGCUCCGGAGGGAAAAAAAUCCUAGCUGUUGUGGUUGAUGAUCCUGUAGAGAGAGGCCAAACCAAAACAGAGUUUCACUGGAACCACCACUUGGGUGGAUAUUCAGGGCAGUCCUACAAUUUUUUUCAUUGGUCUUGGAGGAACAAAAAUGAGCUGAGCUUCCUCAUUUUUCAUCAGCUCUAUAGGUACAAUGAUUUAAGCAGAGUGAAACCUUUAGAGUCGAGUGUGACAAAGUAGAGAGCAUGGGGCUAGUUUAUUGGGAGGAUCCUAGCAAAUCGUUAGCUCCGAAUGAGCAGCUAAACAUGGGAGCAUUUCUCUUAUUUCAAGCUGAGCUCAUUUGAGUAACAAGUAGGUUACCUGCAGGCUGGGAGUUACACUGUCAACAGGGAGCUAGAGCUCAAUGUUACUCUUUGUUUUUUUUCUUAUUGCCAUGGCAGGUGGAAGUUCCUGGGCCAGGAUCAAAACCAAGCCACUACAAGGACAACUCCGGAUCCUUAACCUGCUGCAUCAUAAGAGAUCAGUGUUAUGUAUUGUUAUACAGAAUAGAUGAAAAUGGUUUCACUUUAAACGUUUAAAGAAAAUAAUGCAAGGAAAAGUAUUUCAGAUGUUUUUGUGUUAACAUUAGCAUUUUAGUUAAGGAGCUAGUUAAAUCAUGUUCCUCCUCAUAAGAAUAUUGAGUCAACAAGAGUUUAUUUAGGAACUUGGAUCUUUGCUGCCCCAGUUUCCUUACCAGUCUCUAGUAAGAUGCUCUAAUCAGUCAAUAUCUUUAUUGUUGCUGCCCAGAUAAACCAGCAUUACAGACUAUAGAUGACUUAAUCCAGGGCCUUGUGGCAGUGACCUCAGAGAACUAGCAUUGCUGCAGAGGUGCAGAUUUGAUCACUGGCCUGGAGGGUGGAUUCACUCCCUUGGUUUACAAGGCAAAAACUUAGAAUAAUUUUUCAUGUUUUCUUAGUUCCUGUUACUGAAUUUUUACAACUUGCAUUUAAGAUGGUGUUUUGUACUAUGUAAUAAAGUAUAUACGUACUUGACAUCCUAAUAAACCAUACAUUCUGUUUUGAUAA